ensembl:lncRNA
GUUCAUGGGUGGCAGGUUUGAAUCUGGGAUGUUCUCCUUUUUUAUUGCCCCAUAAAGUUUCCUGGCAAACACGUGAUGCAAGGCCAUGACACAAAAGCCUAUUCAUUUCUAAAAAUAAGACUGACUUGUCCCCUCGUCCUGAUAAAGAAAUCUCUCACACUUUACAGCCAGGCUGGGGCCGACCCAGCCUCCCCACUUGCACAAGGAGAACACAGGUCCCAUCAGGCCCACCCAGGAGCCUGCCCAGGAGCCCUUGGAGCGUGGCCUGCCUCGUUCACUGGAUCCAGUCUUCUGGGACCCAGAAGGGAAGUUGGCAAGCAUUCCGAGAACCUAGGAUGCGCCACGUCAUUGUCCCAGCCCUGGGGACACAGGAGUGUCAGUCCCCACCUGCCAGGAGUGAACAUUCUGGGACUCUGAAGAGUCUUCUCCAGCACCACAACUUGAAAGCAUCAACUCUUUGGCACUCAGCCUUCUUUAUGGUUCAACUGUGAUAUCCGUACAUGACUACUGGAAAACCACAGCUUUGACUCUACGGACCUUUGACUGGAGGAGCUGCACACCUUGGGAGAUGGGAGAGAUAUGAACGAGAAGGUUAAUGUUUCCGUACACCUCAGAAUCAUGAUGGCUCACGGGAAGCGUGUGUGUGUUUCCUCCUGCAAAUAAGAGGUGCCACAGCCCAGGACGCUGAUUCUCAAUGUACCUAAGAGAUGGCAUGUCAUCCCCACUUUGGACUUGAGGCUGGAGAGGGAUGGGGAGCCAUUGGCGUGGGGCACCCAAGGGAGAGAAGGUCUCAAACUCUUCCGUGGAGCUGGGCAGCCUGGCUUAAAGAAAAACAGUAACUAGUUUCUUGGUUAUUUUUUCUCUUCUUGCAGUUACUUAUUCAUUUUCCCAGAACUUUCUUUUACAGUAGGAGAAUGCACGAGGAAGAGAGUACAAGCAAGUGGAACUCAGUUCAUCUGAUGAUCUGCCCACAUCCGCUGAGUCACUCCUAAUGGCCCCUCAGAUGUCAUUUUCUUACUAAGACAUUUGGAAAUUUUUCUGCCUGUGAAUCAGAAGCAAACACUGUAAUUCACCAGUCUUCUCUAAGUUAUGCAAGGAACUUUGAUGUGCUCAGAAGUGGAAGCUCAGGGCGGAUGAAAUCAAUGAAUUCUCUGAGAACUUUGUUUUUCUCCUACUUGAAGUUCGUUUGCCAAGUGGAGGAUGCGAAGAGCUCAGUCUGACCACUGGAGUCACCUCUGCAGGAAGUCUGGGAGCAGCUGAUGUGGGGUUUCUUGAUGACACUGGUUUUCCUUAUCAUCUUGGUCCUGUUCCCAUAAUAGACCCGAGUGUCAUCCAGGAAGGGGCUUUCUGCCACAGCAUCUUGUCGAGGGCUGUUCCUCACAACGAAGGGCUGGCCUGAGGGUGCUUAAUCAUCUCCAGGGUCCUCGGGUGUGUGGGGUCGCCCCCGGCGUGCAGGGGACGCCUGCCCUCUGCCCCCCCGGAGCUCAGUUCAGGGCCUAUCACUGUCACCUGCCUUUGUCACAGCCCUUCUUGGGGGAGAAGAUGGCUUUGUCACUCAUCACGGAUGGUCGCUUUAAAUCCCUUGCUGUGCUUCAGGGCAAGGGGUCACCUUCUGCCUGGCAGAAGUGCAGACCUUUGGUCACCCAGGGGGGCCUGUUAACCUGUGAGUCAGGAAGGGGUCACUCCCAGGGGCCUGAGAAAGCCACUGUGUCUCCACCGCCUCACUGGCUCUCGAUGACCCGGCAGCCAGAGGGCUGCGUGUUCCCCAGGGGAGCAGGUACCUUCAUAAAUAAGGACAAAGGGGCAGAGACGGGCUGGUGUCAGCCCCACUGCGUGUCCUGCCUCUUGGUGCUCCCCAACAUGCUAACUCCUGAGCCCUCAGCAGCUCAGGCCAGACACACAGUAGGCACUCAGGACGCAGGCCCAGGAGACAGUGGCGUCUACACAGUCAGUUGCAUCGCUGCCUUCCAUCAUGUGAAGCUGACUCGAAAAACACUGCCUGUGCAAUGGUUGAGGGCUGCUCAGUUCUUACCGCAGACUUAGGCCUUGGGACCACUAUUGGGCUUUCCAGGUUUGAGGGAGGUAGGCCCCCAAUCCCAGCCUCCCUGCCUGGCAUCCGCCCCCCCCAACUAGCCCCCACCCCUGACAGCUCAUGCCACCCAGGCUGAGUAAACACCGCUGGCCCCACCGGAAUCAGAGCAAACAGGGUUCCUCUUCUUCCCCCUUUUUGCCACCAUUAACAGAAAAACCUUUUAAGCACUCAUCUGGAAUUCUGACAAACUCAGGUGACCCAAGGAGGGUGCUCCAGGGUGGAGGCUGGGGGCGCCCAGCUUGCUGGACUGCAUUCCUCCGACAUAGAGUGAAAACGCAGGUGGAGGACACCCCCAGACCCUCCCAGCAGCUCUGCCCCCCUCCGCCUCCUGUAACUUUCCAAAGUAGGUCUGUGCUGACUCCACGUACCGUCCCUGUUCCCCGGAACCGUUCACAUGGUCAGCCUGGAUCACCUCCUAGGGAAGGAGGAGAGAGUCCCACCCCGCCCGUUAGAACACACUGCUGAAUAAACACAUUAUUGGCUGUGGGGAAGCUUGCCCUUCUGAGUGGGGCUGCUCACCCUCGCCCAGCUGUUGGUCUGCACUCAGCAAACAUUGACUGAGGCACUUUGGGGACUCGAAGGUGAAGCGAUGCAGCAACUCUCAGGCUGUUGGGGAGAUAAGGCAGGAAUAUAAGUGAUGAGCAAACAAGGCUGAGCGUUGGAAACUGCCACCAAAGCUCUGGGGCCACCGGAAUGGGGGGUGUCCCUGACCCCCCAGGGUCUGUCUCCUGCUCCAGCCUCAG